rnacentral:rRNA from 1 species
UACGUAGGGUGCAAGCGUUGUCCGGAAUUAUUGGGCGUAAAGAGCUCGUAGGCGGUCUGUCGCGUCUGCUGUGAAAACUCGGGGCUUAACCCCGGGCCUGCAGUGGGUACGGGCAGACUAGAGUGCGGUAGGGGAGACUGGAAUUCCUGGUGUAGCGGUGAAAUGCGCAGAUAUCAGAAGGAACACCGGUGGCGAAGGCGGGUCUCUGGGCCGUAACUGACGCUGAGGAGCGAAAGCAUGGGGAGCGAACAGG